UACGAAGGGGGCUAGCGUUGUUCGGAUUUACUGGGCGUAAAGCGCACGUAGGCGGAUCGUUAAGUCGGGGGUGAAAGCCCGGGGCUCAACCCCGGAACGGCAUCCGAUACUGGCGGGCUUGAGACCGGGAGAGGAGGGUGGAAUACCCAGUGUAGAGGUGAAAUUCGUAGAUAUUCGCAAGAACACCAGUGGCGAAGGCGGCUCACUGGCCCGGUACUGACGCUGAGGCACGAAAGCGUGGGGAGCAAACAGG
rnacentral:rRNA from 1 species